rnacentral:rRNA from 1 species
CCUACGGGCGGCAGCAGUGGGGAAUCUUGCACAAUGGGGGAAACCCUGAUGCAGCGACGCCGCGUGAGUGAAGAAGUAUCUCCGUAUGGUAAGCUCUAUCAGCAGGGGAGAAGAAAGACGGUAUCUGACUAAGAAGCCCCGGCUAACUACGUGCUAGCCGCCGCGGUAAUACGGAGGGGGCAAGCGUUAUCCGGAUUUACUGGGUGUAACGGGAGCGUAGACGGCUGUGCAAGUCUGAAGUGAAAGCCCAGGGCUCAACCCGGGGACUGCCUUGGAAACUGUGGGGCUAGAGUGCUGGAGGGGUAAGUGGAAUUCCUAGUGUAGCGGUGAAAUGCGUAGAUAUUAGGAGGAACACCAGUGGCGAAGGCGGCUUACUGGACAGUAACUGACGUUGAGGCUCGAAAGCGUGGGGAGCGAACAGGAUUAGAUACCCGGGUAGUC